UUGCCUACGGGGGGCAGCAGUGAGGAAUAUUGGUCAAUGGCCGAGAGGCUGAACCAGCCAAGUCGCGUGAGGGAAGAAUGUCCUAUGGAUUGUAAACCUCUUUUGUCAGGGAGCAAAGUCACCCACGUGUGGGUGUUGGAGAGUACCUGAAGAAAAGCAUCGGCUAACUCCGUGCCAGCAGCCGCGGUAAUACGGAGGAUGCGAGCGUUAUCCGGAUUUAUUGGGUUUAAAGGGUGCGUAGGCGGACUGGAAAGUCAGCGGUAAAAUCGAGAGGCUCAACCUCUUUCCGCCGUUGAAACUGUCGG
rnacentral:rRNA from 1 species